GAUGAACGCUGGCGGCGUGCUUAACACAUGCAAGUCGAACGAUGAAGCUAGAGCUUGCUCUGGUGGAUUAGUGGCGAACGGGUGAGUAACACGUGAGUAACCUGCCCCGAACUCUGGGAUAACUGCUGGAAACGGGAGCUAAUACCGGAUAUGACCAAUGAAGGCAUCUUCUGUUGGUGGAAAGAAUUUCGGUUCGGGAUGGACUCGCGGCCUAUCAGCUUGUUGGUGAGGUAACGGCCCACCAAGGCGACGACGGGUAGCCGGCCGGAGAGGGUGACCGGCCACACUGGUACUGAGACACGGCCCAGACUCCUACGGGAGGCAGCAGUGGGGAAUAUUGCACAAUGGGCGCAAGCCUGAUGCAGCAACGCCGCGUGAGGGAUGACGGCCUUCGGGUUGUAAACCUCUUUUAGUAGAGAAGAAGCGAAAGUGACGGUACCUGCAGAAAAAGCACCGGCUAACUACGUGCCAGCAGCCGCAGUAA
rnacentral:rRNA from 1 species